AGAGUUUGAUCCUGGCUCAGGACGAACGCUGGCGGCGUGCUUAACACAUGCAAGUCGAGCGAUGAAGUUUCUUCGGAAAUGGAUUAGCGGCGAACGGGUGAGGAACACGUGAAGAAUCUGCCCUCCACUUUGGGAUAACACCGGGAAACCGGUGCUAAUACCGAAUAUUGAAACAUAAGUGGCAUCACUGAGUUUUGAAAGAAUUUCGGUGGAGGAUGACUUCGCGGCCUAUCAGCUAGUUGGUGAGGUAAUGGCUCACCAAGGCAACGACGGGUAGCCGGCCUGAGAGGGCGACCGGCCACACUGGGACUGAGACACGGCCCAGACUCCUACGGGAGGCAGCAGUGGGGAAUAUUGGGCAAUGGAGGAAACUCUGACCCAGCGACGCCGCGUGCGGGAUGAAGGCCUUCGGGUUGUAAACCGCUUUCAGUAGGGAAGAAGCGAAAGUGACGGUACCUACAAAAGAAGCACCGGCUAACUAUGUGCCAGCAGCCGCGGUAAUACAUAGGGUGCAAGCGUUGUCCGGAAUUAUUGGGCGUAAAGAGCUCGUAGGUCGUUUGUUACGUCGGAUGUGAAAACCUGAGGCUCAACCUCAGGCCUGCAUUCGAUACGGGCAAACUAGAGUUUGGUAGGGGAGACUGGAAUUCCUGGUGUAGCGGUGGAAUGCGCAGAUAUCAGGAGGAACACCAAUGGCGAAGGCAGGUCUCUGGGCCAAUACUGACACUGANNAGCGAAAGU
rnacentral:rRNA from 1 species